rnacentral:lncRNA from 1 species
UAUAUGUAAAUUGUAAGACCACUGAACCACAGUUGCAAUGAACUUUACAUGUGGAUAUAUUUUUAUCAACAUAGGAGCAUGUAUCCCUUUAAACGAAGCCAUGUUAAAAAAAAAGAUGAUCUUAACCUAUCUAACAAGUAUCUGCUUGCAUCAUCUGUAUCCAAUAACUCUGCUGGAAUUUGUCUUCAUCAUCAACUAGUAUGAAGCUCAACCUUUGCUGUGAUCAUAAAUUUGGAGGUUAAUGAAGACUGCAGGCACUAGGAAGAUGGAGAGGUAUUGGAAAGAAGAAGUAAAAUAAUUUUAUGAUUUGAAAUCAAAUGUCCAGUUUCUUUUGAUUCAGGGGC